UACGUAGGUGGCAAGCGUUGUUCGGAAUUAUUGGGCGUAAAGGGCGCGUAGGCGGUUUGUUAAGUCGGCUGUGAAAAGCCUGGGGCUCAACCCCAGAGGGUCGGCCGAUACUGGCAGACUAGAGUACGGAAGAGGUAGCUGGAAUUCCCGGUGUAGCGGUGAAAUUCGUAGAUAUUGGGAAGAACACCAGUGGCGAAGGCGGCUAACUGGUCCGAUACUGACGCUGAGGUGCGAAAGCGUGGGGAGCGAUCCGG
rnacentral:rRNA from 1 species